rnacentral:rRNA from 1 species
AGAGUUUGAUCCUGGCUCAGAGCGAACGCUGGCGGCAGGCCUAACACAUGCAAGUCGAACGAUCCUUCGGGAUAGUGGCGGACGGGUGAGUAACGCGUGGGAACGUGCCCUUUGGUUCGGAACAACUCAGGGAAACUUGAGCUAAUACCGGAUGUGCCCUUCGGGGGAAAGAUUUAUCGCCAUUGGAGCGGCCCGCGUUGGAUUAGCUAGUUGGUGGGGUAAAGGCCCACCAAGGCUACGAUCCAUAGCUGGUCUGAGAGGAUGAUCAGCCACACUGGGACUGAGACACGGCCCAGACUCCUACGGGAGGCAGCAGUGGGGAAUCUUGCGCAAUGGGCGAAAGCCUGACGCAGCCAUGCCGCGUGAAUGAUGAAGGUCUUAGGAUUGUAAAAUUCUUUCAGCAGGGAAGAUAAUGACGGUACCUGCAGAAGAAGCCCCGGCUAACUUCGUG